UUCAGAGGUCUCGAGCGUUGUUCGGAUUUACUGGGUGUAAAGGGAGCGCAGACGGAACUGCAAGUCUGAUGUGAAAGCCCGGGGCUCAACCGCGGGACUGCAUCGGAUACUGUAGAUCUGGAGUGCCGGAGGGGCAAGCGGAAUUCCUGGUGUAGCGGUGAAAUGCGUAGAUAUCAGGAGGAACACCGGCGGCGAAGGCGGCUUGCUGGACGGCAACUGACGUUGAGGCUCGAAAGCGUGGGGAGCAAACAGGAUUAGA
rnacentral:rRNA from 1 species